UGUAGAAAUAAACAGCCGAAAGCAACAGGAGCAUCCAAUGAAACCAUCAUAAAAGUCCAGAUUCAUUGCAUUUUAUACAAUACAACAUUAACCCACAUCACAAAAGCUUGAAGCAAUGUUUUACCGCAUCAUUUCAAUAGUAUUCUACUCUACUUCAAACACCAGAGUAGCUUAUUCAUCAUCUGAUUCUGAGCACUAGCAGUGCCAUGAAGCUUCCUUCACACACCCUCGAGUCUGCGUUGGAUAACUGUCCAACUGCCGCGGCAAAGACCUCGUCAUAGGACGAUGACGACAACUUAUCAGUCACGCAGCUUGGUACCAAAUUUGAGAGGGAAAUUACCUAUGAAAAUUUUCAACUUACCCCAUCUGAGGGUAACAAUUGGCCUCUUCAGUCAAGCAUCUUGGAAACAUGCGAUUGGAGCAGCCCAUUUGAGGUCAUAAAUCUUUACCAAUCUCACCAUUUAAGGGAAUGAUCUUUAUCUGGCUGCUUCUUUAAUGGUCCAACUCCGACAUGGGUGUGGAACACCACUGAACAAAUCGACUCAAGUAACAAUGGUUUCACAGUUAAUGUUACGAAGUACAGUAGUGAAUCAAAGCUGCACAGACUGACUUUGGAUGGUAACAAUCUACAAGGCCGGAUUCCACAAUGGAUUUCUCAGCUUGUAAACCUCGAGUCUUUUGAUAUCUCAUCCAACAACUUGAGUGGCGUGGUGCAGCUUGAGAUGUUUGCUAGUCUCCACAAACUCGACUUAUUUAGCUUCUGUAAAGUAUGUUAGUCCUACUGCUGUGUGGUCUAACCUUACUUGGGUCUAUCCUCUUGCAAUAUUAAUGAAUUCCCUAGUUUCCUUAAACACCAAUCAAACCUUCAAAUGUUGUUAUUAUCCAACAACAAUAUUCAUGGUGAUGUACCCAAAUGGCUUCAAUAUUCAUGGUGAAGUUGUUGUUGGAUAGCUCAAAGAUCGACAUCCUCACAAUAAGCUUUUUAUAAUUUUGUUGUAACCCAUUUAAUGUCAAUACCAUAGAGUACGGAUUGUAUGGGUCCUUUAUGAAUUCUAGACGCCCAACACCAGACUCGUUCAUAUUGUACAUGGCCACAAAUUUUUUGAUAUAUCUUCCUGACAACUUACCACAAAACUUAUUGUUAGAGAGGUCGAUAAUAUGUAGCAUUGGAAAUGGGUGUUUGACCUUUGUCAGCUAAUUAUAGGACCAUGGAAGCCAUAAAUCAUUAAAAUGCACACUGAAAACCUGGAGCUGUGGAAGGCUAUCUAGCCAUGAGGGAAAUUUAUCUGUAUCUCGAGAUUCAGGAGUUUCAACCUUAGACAAUUGGUUUUAUAAUUUUAGUGUUAAAGUUUAUUGUCCAACUGUCGAAGGUUGAAGCUCCGGAAUCUCGAUAACAAUAGGUUAACGGAUAAAUUUCCCUCAUGGCUAAACAACCUCCCAUAGCUCCAGGUUUUCAGUGUGCGUUUUAAUGGCUUCCACGGUCCUAUAAUCAACUCACAAAAGUCAAGCACCCAUUUCUAAUGCUACAGAUUAUCGACCUCUCUAACAAUAAAUUUUGUGGUAAGUUGCCAGAAAGAUAUAUCAAAAAUUUUGUGGCCAUGUACAAUAUGAACAAGUCUGGUGUUGGGCGUCCAGAAUACAUGAAAGAUCCAUACAAUCCGUACUCUAUGGUAUUGACAUUCAAUGGGUUACAACAAAAUUAUAAAAAACUUAUUGUGACGAUCUCGAUCUUUGAGCUAUCCAACAACUUCACUGGACAGAUGCAAUAAGGCAGUUACGAUCACUCCGCAACCUUAAUCUCUUCAUUGGGAACAUCCUCCAUCAAUUGGGAAAUUAUCUUUGCUUGGCGAUUUGGACUUUUUAUCAAAUAGGCUCACUGGUCGUAUCACUUAAGGAGUAGUUAGUAUAACCAUUUCUUGGGGUCUUAGUUCUUUCUAAUAAUUUAUUAGAGGGGUCUAUACCUCAUGGUAACAACUUCAAUACAUUUUCAGUGAAUUCAUACAAGGUGAAUCCCAAAUUGUGUGGACAACUAUUAUCAUAGUGUGGAGAAAGACACCCGAAAAAUAUCAUCGAUAAUAAUCACGAUACUACAGAAGAUGAUAGAAGUAUUUUGUCGAUGCCAGUAAUCAUAACAAUGGAGUUUGGCAGUGGUGUGCUAGUUGAGUUUGCGUGGGGAUACUAUAUGUUUUCAAUAGAGAAACCCUAUUGGUUUAUCCAGAUGGCCAACAAAAUGAAAUUGGUGUUGCUUGAUUUUUUCGAUGAGUACUUUGGUAAGCGAGGUAGAAUAACAAGACAAAGAAACAUCUAAAAUGUUGAAUGAUAUUCAUGAGUGUAACCUUGUUUCCAAAGUUAAGCACUAUUAUAAGUGUUAAUAAAAUAAUUGUCUUAUUCAA